GACGUAGGGUCCAAGCGUUGUCCGGAUUUACUGGGCGUAAAGAGCGCGUAGGCGGUCUGUUAAGUGUGAAGUGAAAUCUCCAGGGCUCAACCCGGAAACUGCUUCGCAUACUGGCAGACUUGAGGAAUGCAGAGGUUUGUGGAAUUCCUGGUGUAGCGGUGAAAUGCGCAGAUAUCAGGAGGAACACCGGUGGCGAAGGCGGAUCUCUGGGCCUUACCUGACGCUGAGGAGCGAAAGCAUGGGGAGCAAACAGG
rnacentral:rRNA from 1 species